CUCUCCUCACACACCGUCCUCAUCGUGCGGCCCGCACUCGCCAAACUCACCAGCCUGGCCUUCAUUACGUCUGUUGAUGGGAGUGUGUCUGCCUGCGGUCCCCCUCCUCCUCUGCCUGCUGUGCUGAUGAACUGGGCGGCUCCAGAGGUGGUGAAGGAGCAGCUCUGCACAGAGAAGGCCGACAUCUACAGCAUGUGUGCGCUCAUACAGGAGAUAUACACAGAUGCGUUGCCGUGGGGAUGCCUGUCUCCGGGGGAGAUCCGUGGGGAGCUGGAUGAGGGCAGGGCUCUGCCCCCCCACCCCUCAGUGCCCCCCCCGUACUACCAGCUGCUCCAGCACGGCC